UACGAAGGGGGCUAGCGUUGUUCGGAAUUACUGGGCGUAAAGCGUGCGCAGGCGGCUUCUCAAGUCAGGGGUGAAAGCCCAGAGCUCAACUCUGGAAUUGCCUUUGAGACUGAGUGGCUUGAGUACGAGAGAGGUGAGUGGAAUUCCCAGUGUAGAGGUGAAAUUCGUAGAUAUUGGGAAGAACACCGGUGGCGAAGGCGGCUCACUGGCUCGUAACUGACGCUCAUACGACGACAGCGUGGGGAUCGAAACAAGGA
rnacentral:rRNA from 1 species